CAGUCGCCGCGGUAAUACGGAGGGCGCGAGCGUUACCCGGAUUUACUGGGCGUAAAGGGCGUGUAGGCGGCCUGGGGCGUCCCAUGUGAAAGGCCACGGCUCAACCGUGGAGGAGCGUGUGAUACGCUCAGGCUAGAGGGUGGGAGAGGGUGGUGGAAUUCCCGGAGUAGCGGUGAAAUGCGCAGAUACCGGGAGGAACGCCGAUGGCGAAGGCAGCCACCUGGUCCACUUCUGACGCUGAGGCGCGAAAGCGUGGGGAGCAAACCGGAUUAGAUACCCCCGUAGUCCCUGUCUCUUAUAC
rnacentral:rRNA from 1 species